GCGGCCCAUGGGCACCUAUGUCCCACCUGAAGGGUGACGGGUGAGCCCACCGUCCCUGCAGCAGAGGCCAGCCCCCCCCACCCAGACAGGAGGGCCUGCGCACGCGGAGCCUGGUCGAGAGCCAGCUCCGCUGUUUGCGAAAGAGCAGAUGAACCGGGCUCCGGCUCAGCCAAGCAGCCUCCAGCAGAGCUGCCCUGCCUGCCACGUCGGCUGCACCCUACCUGGUCUCUGCCACGGAGUGCCCCCCGCACCCUGGGGCCCAUCACUGUGCCCAGCGGGGCCACCACCUGGGGCCAGAGGAGGCCAAGGGGACCCUCCGACAGACAGGACAGCCCGUCUCCCCAGGCCAGUGCCCCGCCUCUCCCCUCCUUGACCCACCCCUGCAUGACCCUUCCCAACCCUUGACUGACCCUCUCGCCUGCCCCCUUG
ensembl:lncRNA